CGCAAACCUUUGCGAAAUUACGCAAACCUUUGCGUUAAACGCAAACCUUUGCGUUAUAACGCAAACAUUUGUUUUAUCUUAUUUCUUAUUUAAGAUUCAAAGGAAACAGUAGUUAUUAAUGGAGGAGGCUGUAUAUAUUAAAAUGUAUCACCUUUGUAGUCAUUGCAAAGUAAAAUGCUUGAAUAAUUAUAUCAUAUCAUUGACUAAUAAUGAGCAGAAUAAUAUCAGAAGAUGUGGUAUGAGUUCCAAUAAGAAAAAUCUCCAUCUAAGUCACUAUUCGUAAAAGUAAACCAUCAUAGGCCUAAGUACGGUCUUCAACACGGAGCAUUGGCUCACACUGAACAACAAACUAUAAAGGCUCCCCAAAACGAUAUCCAUGUUACUACUAGUAUAUAUAUUACAAAGAAAAUUGAGUAAAUUGAUGUUAUACCUAAGAAAAAAAUCAACCCUGCUAAUAUAGCUAUAACCGAAUAUAAAUAUACUUCCAAAGUAAGCUCUGGUUUGAGAACUGUGUAAAGUAGGUUAGAUUCAAACAAGCUA
rnacentral:lncRNA from 1 species